rnacentral:lncRNA from 1 species
UAGAAAGUUCUCUCCACUGUCGUUUGCCCUGAAAAACUUCAACAAAUAACAAUGACUACACUGUCAUAAGGGAGAAAAGAAAAUCACUGAAAUCGAUAAUUGGUUUCAGGAUACAGACGUUAACUGAAAAUAAACGGCCAUUUCAUCAAUUGGUUUCAAGUCAAGGAUAAUGAAGAGGAAUUUGAAUAAUCUAUUGCGUAAUUGGAAAAAGAGAGAGAACUUGAGGAAGAAGGUGUCGAACGAAAGAGUGGAAAGUGGCGAUAACAGUUGGCGGUGGCGGCGAUUGAACCGAGGAGCAGAGAGUCGGAGUGGGUGGUUGACGUAUGUUAUUAGAAGAAGAGGAGAGAUUUGGAGGAAAGGUUUGUUACGCAAUGGUAUCGAUUUUUUUAUUGAUUAAAAGAUAAAUCUUG